rnacentral:rRNA from 1 species
UACAGAGGUCCCAAGCGUUGUUCGGAUUCACUGGGCGUAAAGGGCGCGUAGGCGGGUUCCCAAGUCGGUGGUGAAAUCUUUCGGCCCAACCGGAAAACAGCCGCCGAUACUGGGAGUCUUGAGGGAGGUAGGGGUCGAUGGAACUUCCGGUGGAGCGGUGAAAUGCGUAGAUAUCGGAAGGAACGCCGGUGGCGAAAGCGAUCGACUGGACCUUUUCUGACGCUGAGGCGCGAAAGCCAGGGGAGCAAACGGG